UUUUUUUUAUACACCCUGUAUAUGUAGAGAUGUUAUAAAAUCAGGCAAAGACAAGAUUUGGUUCGAUGAUGUUGACCCAGAUGAUCUUGAGAAAGUCACCGGCGUAAAACAGAUGAAACUUUCUGAAGACGACGAUGUACAUACGCAUACAUGUAAUGAAAUUCGGAAGCAUGAAGUGACGGAGCAGGAACCAAGGUAUACA